CUUCCAUUUGAGAGAGUAUCUGCAAGGUUUUGAGAGUAGCCACUUUAGGCAAUAUUGAGAGCUUUUAAGCUUAGUAGUCACGACAAGAAGAAUAAAACAAAGGAGGAGUAAAGUAAGUUCUGCCACGGAGAUCCACCAGAAAUGGCUUAGACUAUUUUGGUGAACAAGGAGCACGAAGAAGGACUAAGCCAAACCGCAUUGAACUAGGGAAUAUCGUCAGUUAGGUGUCAUGCACAUAGAAUGGGGUACCUUUAGAGGCUUCGCCUCCGGAUCGAUUAUAUUGUAUUUAAAUAGUUUCCUUAGAAUUUGAAAAAUUGAGUUAGUAAACUUUUAUUUUUAAUUUGAUGUUCCUAUUGUAGGAAAUAUUUAUAUUAAGUGCUAAAGUUUGUAUUUUAAAUUUCUGAUUUAAAAUUUUGGUGUUUAACCCAUACUGGUCCAUUUGAAGCACUCCAUACCAAGGUUCAACGAACGACUCAGGUUAGGGUGUUACUUUGGAACUCUUGGUCAUUGAAGGUUGUUUAGUGGAAGACUCAAUAGACUAAUGGGUCAUUGAUUCUGGAAUCACUAAUCAUGUUUGUGUUUCUAUGCAAAGGUUCAAGGAAAUGAAAGAUAUUAGGUAUAAGAAUCUCUCAUUAUGAACCGGAGAUGGGAGCAAUGUGGGGACAAAAGCAGUGGGAGAAGUAUAUCUUUAUUAUGAUACUUUUAUGAAGACUAUUUUGAAAGAAAUUUUCUAUGUAUCAAACUUAAUCUCUAUUGCAUGUUUAUUUAAAGACGAUUUUACCAU